rnacentral:rRNA from 1 species
UACGUAGGCAGCGAGCGUUGUUCGGAAUUACUGGGCGUAAAGAGUGUGUAGGCGGUGCUCUAAGUUCGGUGUGAAAUCUCCCGGCUUAACUGGGAGGGUGCGCCGGAAACUGGAGUGCUCGAGCGUGGGAGAGGAAAGCGGAAUUCCGGGUGUAGCGGUGGAAUGCGUAGAGAUCCGGAAGAACACCGGUGGCGAAGGCGGUCUGCUGGGCCAAGACUGACGCUGAGGCGCGACAGCGUGGGGAGCAAACAGG